GUUCUUUAGCGUCUACUGGCUGUUGGCACUAGGUUGUAAAGGAAGGAUCUGGGCUUUGACAGGAAGGAAGGAAACACAAGUUUCCCGGGGACCAGCAGUGGGAAAAGAGGAGGAACUGACAAAGCAAGGAGAGAGGGAAGACUUGGAGCAGAAAGCCAGGGCUCCUGGUGGGUGCUGAUAUUCAUUGACUCCUUUCAGCUGUGAUGCUUUCAGAGGUGGAUGCUCAGAUGCUUUCUCAUUCAUCAUUGAAGAUUUAUUGUCAUGACAACCCUGUGACAUUGCUACCGUUCCCAUAUUACAGAUAAGCAAGCUGAGUCUCUCCUAUCUCACACCUGUGUCAGAGGUCAGUCUUUCAAUUUUCACUUCCUAAAAAGUAUCACUUUUGAUAGUCUUCAUUAAUCCCACAUGUCACCCCUGCAGAACAUACUGAGUAAAUUGAACGUCUUGCUUUAGAGGUAGGAAGUGAGACAGUGAGACUAAGUUAUAAUGGGGGAAGGAGGACGAGCAGGCAUCCUAAGAACCAUACCUCAUCUUGCUAAUAUUUUAAGUUUUUCUGAGUUCUAUCACGAGACGGAACUGUAUGAUAAAAUGCUGUGCUGUUAUUAGAAAUGAUAAUGUGUCUGUGAACUAAAUCCUCUUAAAAGGAGAAAGCAGUGAAAAAGUAAGGUAUUUUAAUGAUGCCAAAAGAUCCUAUUGGGGUAAGAGUCACAGUCUGACAAUAUGAAAAUGUAACAAGAGUGUAUUUUGGCAUCAAAAAUACAGGGCUCUUCUCCUGGGCUGAUGAGUUAGGAAUAGUUUUGGUUAGGUGCUCAUUCAAAC
rnacentral:lncRNA from 1 species